rnacentral:rRNA from 1 species
AAUCUUCGGCAAUGGACGAAAGUCUGACGGAGCAACGCCGCGUGAGUGAUGAAGGUUUUCGGAUCGUACAACUCUGUUGGUAGGGACGAACAAGUAUCGGAGACACUGCCAUUAUCUUGACGGUACCUGACGAAAAAGCCACGGCUAACUACGUGCCAGCAGCCGCGGUAAUACGUAGGGUGCAAGCGUUGGCCGGAAUUAUUGGGCGUAAAGCGCGUGCAGGCGGUCUUUUAAGUCUGAUGUGAAAUCCUACAGCUUAACCGUGAGCGUUCAUUGUUAACUGGGAGACUUGAGUGCAGAAGAGGGGAGUGGAAUUCCAUGUGUAGCGGUGAAAUGCGUAGAGAUAUGGAGGAACACCAGUGGCGAAGGCGACUCUCUGGUAUGUAACUGACGCUGAGGCGCGAAAGCGUGGGGAUCAAACA